AAAGCGUGCGCAGGCGGUUAUAUAAGACAGAUGUGAAAUCCCCGGGCUCAACCUGGGAAUGGCGAUGGUGACUGCAAGGCUAGAGUUUGGCAGAGGGGGGUAGAAUUCCACGUGUAGCAGUGAAAUGCGUAGAUAUGUGGAGGAACACCGAUGGCGAAGGCAGCCCCCUGGGUCAAAACUGACGCUCAUGCACGAAAGCGUGGGGAGCAAACAGGAUUAGAUACCCGAGU
rnacentral:rRNA from 1 species